rnacentral:rRNA from 1 species
AUACGGAGGAUCCGAGCGGUAUCCGGACUUAUUGGGUUUAAAGGGUGCGCAGGCGGCCAUUUAAGUCAGCGGUUAAAUCGGGGCGCUCAACCCCAGUCUGCCGUUGAUACUGGGUGUAUUGAUUGCGGUCGAGGUUGGCGGAAUUCGGUGUGUAGGGGUGAAAUGCAUAGAUAUGACGAAGAACACCGAUUGCGUAGGCAGCUGACCAGACCGCAAAUGACGCUCAUGCACGAAAGUGCGGGGAUCGAACAGGAUUAGAUACCCUGGUAGUCCGCACAGUAAACGAUGAAUACUUGUUUUCGGCGAUAUAAUGUCGGAGGCAAAGCGAAAGCGAUAAGUAUUCCACCUGGGGAGUACGCCGGCAACGGUGAAACUCAAAGGAAUUGACGGGG